GGGACGGUUCCCGAGUGGCCAAAGGGGGCAGACUGUAAAUCUGUUGGCGCAGCCUUCGGUGGUUCGAAUCCACCCCGUCCCACCA
rnacentral:tRNA from 2 species